AAGUCGUAACAAGGUUUCCGUAGGUGAACCUGCGGAAGGAUCAUUAUCGAAUAAACUUGAACAGGUUGUUGCUGGUCACCUUGCAAAGGGGGGGCAUGUGCACGCUUGUCAUCUUUAUCAUUUCUCCAACUGUGCACCUCUUGUAGACAUGGAGCUUGUUUGAAUUUUGUUUCGAGUUGGGACUGCUGUGCUUUUCACAAAGUCAGCUUUGCCUUGCAUGUUCCAGGUCUAUGUUUCACAAACUAGAAAACGUGUUUAGAAUGUGUUGACAAUAUUAAAAAAGUUAUACAACUUUCAGCAACGGAUCUCUUGGCUCUCGCAUCGAUGAAGAACGCAGCGAAAUGCGAUAAGUAAUGUGAAUUGCAGAAUUCAGUGAAUCAUCGAAUCUUUGAACGCAUCUUGCGCUCCUUGGUAUUCCGAGGAGCAUGCCUGUUUGAGUGUCAUUUCCACUUCUCAACCACACCGAUUGUCUUCGAUGUGGCUUGGACAUUGGGGGUUUACCAUUUUGCAGGCUUCCUUCUGAAGUCGGCUCCCCUGAAAAGCAUUAGUGGUAUCUGAGCAGAAACUGCUACCAUCAGGUGUGAUAAUUAUCUAUGCCUUUGGUAUUCUGCAUGAACAGAUUGUGCUGCUUCUAACCGGUGCAUAAUUGAUGAAUUUGACCUCAAAUCAGGUAGGACUACGCGCUGAACUUAA
rnacentral:rRNA from 1 species